ensembl:lncRNA
AAACACCCAAAUCACCACUGGCGUUAAUGGCGGCAGUAUGUAGCACGUAGCUCUUGGAUGCUCAUCGUCGUCUGUCUGUCUGACUUUGCUUCUCUCCGUAAUAUCGGGGAAAACAUGGUUUUUUUCUCCAUAAUAGUCACGUUUGAUUGUUAAAUUAAGCGUGUUUGAAUCGGCUGGUUUUCUUGGUCAUAAUAACACAGGUGAAAUAACCCCCCCCCCCCCCUCUGAUACACACUCAGUCUCUCUUUUUCUUUAAAAAGCAGCGGCGUCUUUGAUCUGAGGGGCUUUAGCUGCACCGUCUCACACACACACACACACACACACACACACACCAAAGGGAAGCACUGAUUUGGACUUGAUGAUAUUUCCCAUCAUGCAGCUCUCACAUCACACGCGCUCCUGUAGCGCCGGCGGCCUUAUCACCGUCAACCCAAGUGACUCAAUGAUAAAACAACUUGAGAUUCAAUGUGAGGCAUCAUUACUGUUACAGCUGUAGAGAAACGCCUUCAUCUGUGGUUUCUAGAUGGAACGUGUGAUUGUGAAAGAUGAAUUUAAACCACAAACAGCUGAUCCUUGGAGAAAGAAACCUGUUGCUUCCUGCAAACCCGUGUCAGCCAGAGGGGUUUUUAUCACAAAUACUUUAAACAUGUAAUCUGCUUUUAGAAUAACGAAUGAACUAUUAAAAUAACCACAGACAGUGGCAGUCCCCCAUAAUGUUAAAUUGAAUUGCUCAUCUUUUAUUUUGUAAUCCAAUUUUUAAGAUGAAUUUGUUAAAUACACUUGGAUGAAUUAUCAAUUUGUUUUGACACAUUUAAAUCAAGCAGAAUAGAUUUUUAAAGAGUCCAUUAACAUGAAUGAAUGUCCUGGUAAAAUAAAAAAUGUUUAUAUAAUUGAAUUAGAUUUUGUGGACCAUGUACCUUUGAGCAAACUUUCUUUUGUUUCAGUCAGUGGAGCUUGAGUUGACUUUGUUAAAGUCAACGAUGAGUCUCGUUCCUGCUCAGACUUACAUGUGUUUAGUGACUGGAUUAAGUAUUAAGUUUAAAUCCUCAUCAGCCUCCUGAAGAUAAACCAGUUUACCCAUCAUGCAUAGCGCUGCCCGGCCUGUUGUUCCUCCCCUGUGAGGAGGUCGGAGGUGAUGGAGGUGACGAGGUGACGGAGGGGAUGGAGGUGUCGUAGGUGAUGGGGUGACGGAGGGGAUGGAGGUGUCGUAGGUGAUGGGGUGACGGAGGUGAUGGAGGUGAUGGAUGUGUCAUAGGUGAUGGAGGUGACGGAGGUGAUGGAGGUGGGCGUGUCCUUAAGCUGCAUUUGACAAAAAGACUAACUGAAUGGAUGCUUCGCCGCGAGCUGCGUCAGCUGUAGCUGCCCGCCUCCGGCCGGUUCGCCUCCACCUCCGUGAUUGCACAAGCUGUGUUUUAUGUGAUGACACACACACACAGUAACACACACACACACAGUAACAGACACACACACACACACACACACACACAGUAACACACACACACACACACGGUAACACACACACAGUAACACACACAGCUGCAGUCCAGUGUGUCAUGAGGACCAUGUAUUUUACAUGAGCAAAGGCAGCGUUUAGUCCGGCCUGGGGGGACGAGGGGGGCGGGGGGCUCAGACGCUGCUCUGUAUUCUACUGUGGAAGUCCAGCAGGUGAUGAGACACACACACAGUAACACAAACGGUGUGUGCGCGUUGUGCUCCUCCGUGUCUUCACUCUCGUGCAUCUCCCUCAUUGUGACCUAUCAAAGCGACGUCCCCUCAUCUCAUUCUUUCUCUCAGACCCGCGUACGUCGUUGGUUCGAGACCCUCCGCGGUCGGGUGCUUUCGGGCGCCUCGACCACCUUAACGGGCCUCGACGUCACACAGACGUCCAGAGGAAUUACUGCAGCCUCUCGAGCGCGGAGAAGAAAGCGGCAGCGAGGUGGUCGGAAGCUGCUGCUGCUGCUCGUGAGUGACUGAUGGCGCCAUUAGGUGCUGGAACGCAGCCCAAAACGCGCUGCUUUGUGGGCUUUUUGUACAUCUAUCAUCUGUUUGUGUGUGCGACUUUGAGAAGUUUGUUUUGUGUGUGUGUGUGUGUGUGUGUGUGCAGGCUGAUUGAGAUCAUUACAGCAGUUAGUUUUGAGCUGAAACAAACGACUGUGUGUGUCCAUGAUAAUGAGGCAGCAGCCACAGUGUGGAUGUGUUUUUAAUAGUUUUCACAGCGUAAUGUGGAUCUGUGGCACAAUAAGACGCAUCAAUAGUGAAACUGAGGCUUUAAUCACUGUGUGGACGACGUCAACAUCCCUCAUUUCACCCAUUGUCACAAAGUUAUCACUGAUGCUGACGUAUUAAACUACUGUGGCCAACAAAAAAGCCUUCAAUCUACUUUUCACUAAAUCUUCACCAACCCACCGGGAGACCCGCGGCAAUGGAAGGAAAGUUCUGGAAGUUCUGGAAGAAGCAGUGGAUCAGAGGUGGAGAUUCGGCUCAGCAUCACGCCUCGUGGUCGUUACACCAUCGAGGAAACUGUUUGAGCGCCGAGUCUCAAUCGUCUCAAUUAACCGUGAGAUCGGGGAGGUUGUGUUUCACGAGGAGCGGAGUCCUCUUCAGUGUUUAACUCCAAGGUAAUGAGAUUUAAUUACAUCUCCCCUGCUGUUGAACAUCUUCUGGUUUUCCUGCUGGGAGGUAAUUCCAUUUGCUUUAGCGGUGCAACAAAGACCCUCUUUGUCAGAUCUUCAUUCCCUCAGACGUUGAUCGUUCCUCAUUCCUUCAGGCCUGGAGACCUUUUCUCAUCUCCGUUUGAACGUAAGCCUCAACUCAAGCGUUUAAAGACAUUUAACUGGAGCAAAGCGAUAAACAACAGCAGAAAGUUCCUGCUUCAGUUAAGGAGCUUUUUCCUGCGUUUAGAGGCGUUGGGCUCAUUGAUCCCCGUGUGCUUCAUAUCUGAAGUCAGUGGUAUUAAAAGAGAAAUGUGUAAAUCAGAGAUGUGCUCCGUUAAAUUAUCAUCUACAACUCGCAUUAGAACAUUGAGUGUCGUUUGUGGAAUAUUUCGUCCAUCGAGCUGCUGAGCAGAACCCGUGCAGAGCAGCAGACACCUGAGCUCAUUCGAGUGCUUCUCCUCGACACAUUAUUCCAUUCUCUUCUCAUUUUGCUCGCUCAAUCUCUCCGUGAAUUAUUUAGUUUUUUGUUCCGUGUGUGAUGUAGUUUUCUUCUUGUUCAUAAAUCAAUUCCCCCCUCAAGGAUUAUUGAAACUGAACAAGGCUUCAAAGGGUGUUAUAGAUGGAAGGUUUUCCACUCAUACGUCAUAUAUAGAUAUAAAACACAACGACUGUUGUUCUGCUGAGAAACUCAAUUUAAUCCACUUCUUGUGCGUCAUUUGCAAAGGCAGUUGUUGUCUUUUAAUGCUUUGAAGCUGAAGAUGUUUUUGAAGUGUUUUUUCUCUCGAGGGAACCUGUAGACUCACACGUUGAGUCCUUGUGCUGAUUUGGAGGAAUAAACACCUUUAAACUAAAGAAUAGGCAAAGAGCCUCGCGACGACAUCUGCAUGUGAUGACGACCAAGCCGACAGCCCGCUGGCGAAGGCGUCGGCCCGCCGGCUCUCUCACCCCGUCGCCGUCUCGUGAUCAGCAGCAGUGCUCAA